AUGAACGCUGGCGGCGUGCUUAACACAUGCAAGUCGAACGGGACUCUUCGGAGUCCAGUGGCGGACGGGUGAGUAACGCGUGAGAAUCUGCCUUCCGGAUGGGGACAACCGCUGGAAACGGCGGCUAAUCCCCAAUGUGCCGAGAGGUAAAACGGGUGAAACCGCCGGAAGAGGAGCUCGCGUCCGAUUAGCUAGUUGGUGGGGUAACAGCUCACCAAGGCCACGAUCGGUAGCCGGUCUGAGAGGACGAUCGGCCACACUGGGACUGAGACACGGCCCAGACUCCUACGGGAGGCAGCAGUGGGGAAUUUUCCGCAAUGGGCGAAAGCCUGACGGAGCAACGCCGCGUGGGGGAGGAAGGCUCUUGGGUUGUAAACCCCUUUUCUCAGGGAAGAAGCUCUGACGGUACCUGAGGAAUCAGCCUCGGCUAACUCCGUGCCAGCAGCCGCGGUAAUACGGGGGAGGCAAGCGUUAUCCGGAAUUAUUGGGCGUAAAGCGUCCGCAGGUGGCUAUUUAAGUCUGCUGUCAAAGACCGGGGCUCAACUCCGGGUCGGCAGUGGAAACUGGAUAGCUAGAGUACGGUAGGGGUAGAGGGAAUUCCCGGUGUAGCGGUGAAAUGCGUGGAGAUCGGGAAGAACACCGGUGGCGAAGGCGCUCUACUGGACCGUGACUGACACUCAGGGACGAAAGCUAGGGGAGCGAAAGGGAUUAGAUACCCCUGUAGUCCUAGCUGUAAACGAUGGACACUAGGUGUUGUCUGUAUCGACCCGGACAGUGCCGAAGCUAACGCGUUAAGUGUCCCGCCUGGGGAGUACGCACGCAAGUGUGAAACUCAAAGGAAUUGACGGGGGCCCGCACAAGCGGUGGAGUAUGUGGUUUAAUUCGAUGCAACGCGAAGAACCUUACCAGGGCUUGACAUGUCGCGAACCUCGGGGAAACUCGAGGGUGCCUACGGGAACGCGAACACAGGUGGUGCAUGGCUGUCGCCAGCUCGUGUCGUGAGAUGUUGGGUUAAGUCCCGCAACGAGCGCAACCCUCGUCCUUAGUUGCCAGCAUUCAGUUGAGCACUUUAGGGAGACUGCCGGUGAUAAACCGGAGGAAGGUGGGGAUGACGUCAAGUCAGCAUGCCCCUUACGUCCUGGGCGACACACGUACUACAAUGGUCGGGACAACGGGCAGCCAACUCGCGAGAGUGAGCUAAUCCCCUAAACCCGGCCUCAGUUCAGAUUGCAGGCUGCAACUCGCCUGCAUGAAGGAGGAAUCGCUAGUAAUCGCCGGUCAGCAUACGGCGGUGAAUCCGUUCCCGGGCCUUGUACACACCGCCCGUCACACCAUGGAAGCUGGCCACGCCCGAAGUCGUUACCCCAACCCGUAUGGGAGGGGACGCCGAAGGCAGGGCUGCGACUGGGGUGAAGUCGUA
rnacentral:rRNA from 1 species